rnacentral:rRNA from 5 species
UCCAGCAAUGCCGCGUGUGUGAAGAAGGCCUUCGGGUUGUAAAGCACUUUUGUCCGGAAAGAAAUCCUUGGCUCUAAUACAGUCGGGGGAUGACGGUACCGGAAGAAUAAGCACCGGCUAACUACGUGCCAGCAGCCGCGGUAAUACGUAGGGUGCGAGCGUUAAUCGGAAUUACUGGGCGUAAAGCGUGCGCAGGCGGUUUGCUAAGACCGAUGUGAAAUCCCCGGGCUCAACCUGGGAACUGCAUUGGUGACUGGCAGGCUAGAGUAUGGCAGAGGGGGGUAGAAUUCCACGUGUAGCAGUGAAAUGCGUAGAGAUGUGGAGGAAUACCGAUGGCGAAGGCAGCCCCCUGGGCCAAUACUGACGCUCAUGCACGAAAGCGUGGGGAGCAAACAGGAUUAGAUACCCUGGUAGUCCACGCCCUAAACGAUGUCAACUAGUUGUUGGGGAUUCAUUUCCUUAGUAACGUAGCUAACGCGUGAAGUUGACCGCCUGGGGAGUACGGUCGCAAGAUUAAAACUCAAAGGAAUUGACGGGGACCCGCACAAGCGGUGGAUGAUGUGGAUUAAUUCGAUGCAACGCGAAAAACCUUACCUACCCUUGACAUGGUCGGAAUCCUGCUGAGA